rnacentral:rRNA from 1 species
CGCGGCCUAUCAGCUUGUUGGUGGGGUAAUGGCCUACCAAGGCUUUGACGGGUAGCCGGCCUGAGAGGGUGACCGGCCACACUGGGACUGAGACACGGCCCAGACUCCUACGGGAGGCAGCAGUGGGGAAUAUUGGACAAUGGGCGGAAGCCUGAUCCAGCAACGCCGCGUGGGGGAUGAAGGCCUUCGGGUUGUAAACCUCUUUCAGUACCGACGAAGCUUUUUGUGACGGUAGGUACAGAAGAAGCACCGGCCAACUACGUGCCAGCAGCCGCGGUAAUACGUAGGGUGCGAGCGUUGUCCGGAAUUACCGGGCGUAAAGAGCUCGUAGGUGGUUUGUCGCGUUGUCCGUGAAAUCCUACCGCUUAACGGUGGGCGUGCGGGCGAUACGGGCAGGCUGGAGUACUGCAGGGGAGACUGGAAUUCCUGGUGUAGCGGUGAAAUGCGUAGAUAUCAGGAGGAACACCGGUGGCGAAGGCGGGUCUCUGGGCAGUAACUGGCGCUGAGGAGCGAAAGCGUGGGGAGCGAACAGGAUUAGAUACCCUGGUAGUCCACGCCGUAAACGGUGGGUACUAGGUGUGGGUUCCAUUCCACGGGAUCCGUGCCGUAGCUAACGCAUUAAGUACCCCGCCUGGGGAGUACGG